UUACGGCCAUAACAGGUGGAAACACCGGUUCUCGUCCGAUCAGCGAAAUUAAGCAAUCUCGGUUCUGUUCAGUGACCACUUGGGAAUACCAGGUACCGUAAG